rnacentral:rRNA from 1 species
GAUGAACGCUGGCGGCGUGCCUAAUACAUGCAAGUCGAGCGAACAGGCGAGGAGCUUGCUCCUUUGACGUUAGCGGCGGACGGGUGAGUAACACGUGGAUAACCUACCUAUAAGACUGGGAUAACUUCGGGAAACCGGAGCUAAUACCGGAUAACAUGUUGAACCGCAUGGUUCAACAGUGAAAGACGGUCUUGCUGUCACUUAUGGAUGGAUCCGCGCCGCAUUAGCUAGUUGGUAAGGUAACGGCUUACCAAGGCAACGAUGCGUAGCCGACCUGAGAGGGUGAUCGGCCACACUGGAACUGAGACACGGUCCAGACUCCUACGGGAGGCAGCAGUAGGGAAUCUUCCGCAAUGGGCGAAAGCCUGACGGAGCAACGCCGCGUGAGUGAAGAAGGUCUUCGGAUCGUAAAACUCUGUUAUUAGGGAAGAACAAAUGUGUAAGUAACUAUGCACGUCUUGACGGUACCUAAUCAGAAAGCCACGGCUAACUACGUG